rnacentral:lncRNA from 1 species
AACCCUAAACUGAACUUUUCCUAUAGUCAGUAUUAGGGUUUUAAACCCUAAACAGAACUCUUUUUCAUUCAGUCAGCAUUAGGGUUUUAAACCCUAAACUGAACUUUUUCCUGUAGUCCGAGUCAGCAUUAGGGUUUUAAACCCUAAACUGAACUCUUUUCCAUUCAGUCAGCAUUAGGGUUUUAAACCCUAAACUGAAAUUUUUCCAUUCAGUCAGCAUUAGGGUUUUAAACCCUAAACUGAACUCUUUCCAGCCAAUGAGUAUUAGGGUUUUAAACCAUAAACUGAACUUUCCCUUUAGUCAGCAUUAGGGGUUUAAACCCUAAACUGAACUUUUUCCAUCCAGUCAGCAUUAGGGUUUUAAACCCUAAACUGAACUCUUUUCCAUUCAGUCAAAAUUAAGGUUUUAAACCCUAAACUUAACUUUUUCCUUUAAUCAGCAUUAGGGCUUUAAACCCUAAACUGAACUUUUUCUUUUAGUCAGCAUUAAGGUUUUAAAUUCUAAACUGAACUUUUCCUUUCAGUCAGCAUUAGGGUUUUAAACCCUAAACUGAACUUUUUCCUUCCAGUCAGCAUUAGGGUUUUAAACCUUAAAC